UCCUCAUCCACGAAAUAUGUCAACUUUGUAAAAAAAAUAUCGCCAUAAUCAGUCACGUGGAAAACCAACAAAAGGUAUAAAGGGGGAUCAUUUCGAUAUCCUUGCAUCCCGCACUUCUCCCGCAACUGUGUCCGAUCUGAUCUGUAGUGAAAUUGUAUUUGAACAGCAGACAUGAAGUUCGCCGUAUUUCUCCUUGUCUUGGCAUGUGUUUGCGCUGUCGCCCUAAGCGCUCCUCGUAAAAGGAGGUGCAGACGCAAAGGUGAGAACGGCAACGGCAAUGGCAACGGUGAGAACGGCAAUGGCAAUGGCAACGGUGAGAACGGCAAUGGCAAUGGCAACGGUGAGAACGGCAAUGGCAAUGGCAACGGUGAGAACGGCUAUAGAGAAUGUGACGAAGGGAACAAUGAUGACAAAUAUGACGACAACGGUAACGGCAAUGGCAACGGUAAAGACAACGGUAAUGGCAAUGGCAACGGUAACGGCAAUGAUAACGGCAACGGUAACGGCAAUGGCAAAGACAACGGUAACGGCAAUGACAACGGCAACGGUAACGGCAAUGGCAAUGGCGGCGGGUAACGGCAGCGUUAACUGAGGUCGAACAGAUGCUCUUCCAGCGCAUCUGUCUAAAUGUGAAGCAGUUUCCCAGCGAGCGUAAUCAUGAAUUAAUGUCCUGCAAUCUUGAAUAAAUACUUUUCCCUAUCUUUCAA